GUAGGUCGGCCCCGGGCGGGCCCCGCGAGAGGGUCUAGGAUACGCAAGAUUGAUGUUUGAAGAGGUCAGCGUUAAUCUAGCAUCCUCUACAGUUUAGGAGGCACUGGUUUUGUUUGGCAAAUACUACAUUUCAUCCACCUUUCUGCUGGGCACUCACCGCCACCAUUUUUUUUCCUGGACAGUCUGUACAAUGACAGUCACUGCUCAGGACUGAGUGCUCCCACAUUCUGGCCACGAGGAGAAGUGACUGAAUUUGGUUUUUUUUUCCUCUUUCCUCCCAAAGAUCUUCCAAGACAACCUGACUUUAUUUAUGUGGAUAUACUGGGAUUAAGUCUUCCAGCAGCCUCCACUGCAAGACUGAGGAGCCGUUAUAUAAAUGAAUUACAGCUGUUUGAACUAUCAACCCUCUUGUUAUUUGGUUAAUUCAGAGAUCCUCUGUGUUCUGAAGAUGGUGUUUUCCAUUCCUAUUCCUACAGUCAUUUAAGUUAUUUAUGACAUAUUUUUAAUUAUGCAAAACACAUUUCUCAGUCUUUUCAGUUCUCAUAUGAAGCAGCUGGCUUCAGUUAGCUGAACAUUAUUGUUAAGCCUCACUUUAAAGUACUUCAAAAUUCUUGUAUAAAUUGCCUUACACUCUUAAUUAAGGGGAAGGAUGUGGCUGUUACAUAAAAAAAACCUGCUCCCUAAACCAGAAUCCCCCAAAUGCAUCCUGCCUGGGGCUACCAGGCUAAAUGGAGCUGAUGUUAAGAAUUAGACAUUCUCAGACAUCACUAAUUUGGUUAAGAGACCACCUGGGAAUCCAUCUUACCCUCCAAGCCAAGGCUAGGAAUGUGUCAAAAUACCAGACCACUGAAGUGGAGAGACAAGCUCCCUCUGGACUUCUUGCCACUGCAGAUACAAACUACAAGGAAAAGAGGAGACACUUGCCUAAAAUCUAAAUGGUAAAUCUUAGUAAAAUGUACAAAUAUGUCUUUAACUUCA